rnacentral:lncRNA from 1 species
AUGGGGUACGUGGGGUGUGCAGGGUGCAUGGGGCGUGCAAGGGUGCACGGGGCGGUGUUCAUGCUCCUUGCCACAUGGCACUACUGGGAGAGCGCUGGGGGAACACUGGGUAGCGCUAUCACAACACUGGGAGCACUGGGAGGGCACUGGGCAGCCUGGCUGUGGUGUCAGGCCUGGGUCCCAGGGACCCCACACAUCCCGGGGGUGUCCCCCUCCCCACUCCCCCCCCGUUUUACCCCUGGGCACAGCUCGGAGCAGGCGCUCAGCCAGGUGGCACGGGCCGGGCUGCGGGCGCACGGCGGUGCCGUGCCGGACCCUACCCAGCAGCCAGACCACCCUGACCCCCACCCGCUGCCCCCCCCAGGUGGAGGUGGAGGUGGAGAGCAUGGACAAGGCGGGGAACUUCAUCGGCUGGCUGCACAUCGAGGGCGUCAACCUGUCGGUGGCCCUGGUGGAGCACGCGCUCUCCAAGGUGCACUUCACCGCCGAGCGCAGCCCCUACUCCAAGGCGCUGCUGGCCGCCGAGGAGGCCGCCAAGCAGAGGAAGGAGAAGGUGAGCGACCCCCCCUUUUGUGCCACCACCCCGGCCCCAAACCCCCCCCCGGGGGACACAUCUUGGUGGCGGUGGGCUGGGUGCCCGCCCCAGCGCCGUUUUUCCCCCCCCCUCCUGUCCCCAGGUGUGGUCCCACUACGAGGAGACGCCGGUGGAGGAGGUGGUGCCGGUGCUGGAGGAGAAGGAGCGCACGGCCAACUACAAGCCCGUCUUCGUCACGGAGAUCACCGACGACCUGCACUUCUACGUGCAGGACGUGGAGACAGGUGAGGGGUGGCGGGGAGGAACUGGGGGGGGGGUCACCGUGGGGCUGGGGUCGCUGCUCCGUGCCCCUUCCCUGUGCGGCGACCCGCUGCUCGCCCCCACCUGCAGCUGAAGGUGGCUGCUUUCUUUAAAAAAUACUGCUUUUGUUAAAAAAAAGGCUGCUGAAAUUUAAAAAUUUAAAAAGUGAGCUGUGGCGUGGAGCACUCGCUGCCCGGUGUCCCCAAGACCCCAAUGAGGUCCCCAUGAGGGCAGCACCUGCAGCAGGACGGGGGGUUGGGGACAGGGACGGGGACAGGGCGCGGUGCUGCACCCCCUGCCUGGCACGGCGUGGGGCACCCUCGUCCCCAUGUCCCCGGGGUGCCCGGGGGGGGGUGGCACCGGUGUCGCCACCCCAUAACCCAGCUCUGCACAGCUCGUGGUUGGCAGCAGGGUCUCGGCCACCACGAUGUCCCCACCCCAUGUCCCCACCGUGGGUGGCUUUGUGUCAUCGGGCUGAGGACGCUGGGUUUUGGCGAGCAGCCCCAAACUCGCACCCCCAGCCCCGGGUGGGACUCGAGCAGCCCCUGGGUGCCCCCGUC